CGAGGAUGCAAGGAUGCCCUGAUGAAAUUGCCGAUUUCAGUUUUCUAAUCUUCACAUUCUGUCACCACAAGGUACUCAAAUGUUUAGACAUGAGUGAUUUAGAGAGCUUGAUAUUGAAAAGGCCAUAUUAAAUCAAAGCACCGAGCACAAAUUGGAGGAUAAUACAAAGACACAAAUGGAAUUAGAAAAAUUGGCCAGCAUACAACUA
rnacentral:lncRNA from 1 species